rnacentral:rRNA from 1 species
UCCCUUCGGGGAGCGAGUACAGCGGCGCACGGGUGAGUAACACGUAGGUAACCUACCCUGGGGAUCGGGAUAACCUGUCGAAAGACGGGCUAAUACCGGAUAAGACCACGGGAGCCUCGGCUCCUGAGGUAAAAGAUGGCCUAUGCUUGCAAGCUAUUACCCCGGGAUGGGCCUGCGCACCAUUAGCUAGUUGGUGAGGUAACGGCUCACCAAGGCGAAGACGGUUAGCUGGUCUGAGAGGAUGAUCAGCCACACUGGGACUGAGACACGGCCCAGACUCCUACGGGAGGCAGCAGUGGGGGAUAUUGCGCAAUGGGCGAAAGCCUGACCCAGCGACGCCGCGUGGGUGAUGAAGGCCUUCGGAGUCGUAAAGCCCUGUCAGGAGGGACGAAACCUCGCCGACCUAAUAUGUCGGCGACCUGACGGGUACCUCCAAAGGAAGCACCGGCUAACUCC